AGCGUCUGGAAAGGCGCGCGAUACAGGGUGACAGCCCCGUACACAAAAGCGCAUGUGCUGUGAGCUCGAUGAGUAGGGCGGGACACGUGGUAUCCUGUCUGAAUAUGGGGGGACCAUCCUCCAAGGCUAAAUACUCCUGACUGACCGAUAGUGAACCAGUACCGUGAGGGAAAGGCGAAAAGAACCCCGGCGAGGGGAGUGAAAAAGAACCUGAAACCGUGUACGUACAAGCAGUGGGAGCCCCACCACCAAAGCAUUCUCUGGUGUUGAAGGCCCUGCAAAGCAGCAUCGCGGUGGCGGAGCGUCGUUUGCGACGCCCAACACACAAAACAAGCGGUGAAUGCUUUGGGGUGGGGUGACUGCGUACCUUUUGUAUAAUGGGUCAGCGACUUAUAUUCUGUAGCAAGGUUAACCGWAUAGGGGAGCCGKAGGGAAACCGAGUCUUAAYYGGGCGUUAAGUUGCAGGGUAUAGACCCGAAACCCGGUGAUCUAGCCAUGGGCAGGUUGAAGGUUGGGUAACACUAACUGGAGGACCGAACCGACUAAUGUUGAAAAAUUAGCGGAUGACCUGUGGCUGGGGGUGAAAGGCCAAUCAAACCGGGAGAUAGCUGGUUCUCCCCGAAAGCUAUUUAGGUAGCGCCUCGUGAAUUCAUCUCCGGGGGUAGAGCACUGUUUCGGCUAGGGGGCCAUCCCGGCUU
rnacentral:rRNA from 1 species